UUGUUUUCUUUCCCUUGAUAAAAUCUUCGGUUGCUUAUCUCCAAAGCUAACCGUUGCCCUUUCAAGAAGAGGUGAGAAAGAGAGCGCCAAACAAAUGGCUCCGAAGAACUUGUCGUUCAAGAUAAUCUUGGGUUCGUCCUCAAUGGCACGUCGCAAAAUUCUAGCGGACAUGGGUUAUGAAUUUACAGUUAUGGGUGCCGACAUUGAUGAAAAGAGGAUUAGGAAGGACAAUGCAGAGGAAUUAGUGGUAGCUCUAGCAGAGGCAAAGGCAGAUGCUAUCAUGUCAAGGCUCAAAACAACUGAUCAUUUGGAGGAAAAUACCCAUUCCACUCUGUUAAUUACUGCAGAUACAAUCUUUUUGGCUAUAUCUUACCUACAUCUAUUGGUAUCAAGGUGGCUGUGUACGAUGGAAUUAUUAGAGAAAAGCCAUCAAGUAAGGAAGAAGCGCGUCAGUUCAUCAAAUGUAUGUUUGUAUUUGCGGUCUGCAGUUCCUCCAGUAUCUCAGCUAAGCAGGUUAUUCUUUUUAUUUUCUACCAAUAUUACUGUUCUUGUUAUUAUGAAUUGCAGGUUAUUCUGGUGGUCAAGCCACGGUUGUAGGAUCUGUCGUUGUGACCAACCUUACAAAGGGUAUAAGAAAAGGAGCUUGGGAAAGGUCAGAGGUAUAUUUCCAUGACAUACCUGAUGAGAUCAUUGACAGCCUGAUUGAGGAGGGAAUAGUACUUAAUGUUGCUGGUGGCUUAAUGCUUGAACAUCCAUUGACGUUGCCCUUCGUUGACACUCUGAUUGGAACUGCUGACAGUGUCAUGGGACUCCCAAGAAGUCUCACUGAAAAACUUAUCGAAGAAACACUCUAGCUGCUGGAAUUCCACAAAUGAAUAUCCUUUCAAUCACCUGUCCUGAAAUGUAGUUGAUUACUCUCACUAGAUUUUUGAGUUUAUAAACUUGUCUUUCUGAAGUGAACAUUUGAAACAUGCCGAAAGGAAAUUGCUGAAAGACACUCUUCUUUCAAAUAUCACUGUUGAAUUAUUUGAUUUGAUGUAAACAUCGUGAUCAGGAACGAUUUGAUACUCAUACAACUUGGAAAUUGAUUCAAUAAGGUAAAUAUUCUGCACAAGAAAACAUUUUU